rnacentral:rRNA from 1 species
AGAAUCAACGCUGGCGGCGUGCCUAACACAUGCAAGUCGAACGCGAAAGCCUCGCAAGGGGCAAGUAGAGUGGCAAACGGGUGAGUAACACGUGGGUGACCUGCCUUCGAGUGGGGGAUAACGUCCCGAAAGGGACGCUAAUACCGCAUGACAUCCUGCUUUUUAAGAGGUGGAGAUCAAAGCCGGGGACCGCAAGGCCUGGCGCUUGAAGAGGGGCCCGCGUCUGAUUAGCUAGUUGGUGGGGUAAUGGCUCACCAAGGCAUCGAUCAGU